CUCUCUCGCUCUCACUCGAGUCUCUUCAAUGUUCUACACUUUCGCCUCUCUUCCUCUCUUCACUUCAAUGUUCUACACUUCCGCCUCUCUCCUUCCUCUCUCACUCGAGGCUGAAGAUGAUUGUUUGGUGCGGUCGAUCCUCAUCUACUCUCAUGCUUUUCCUUCUAUGGUUUUAUUGGAUCUGCUACCGAUCUACAAAAUCCAUCAGAUAGCAGAUGCUGCUACUGGAACAAUCCAAGCCUGAGAUCGGUGGCUAAACUUCCUCUAGUUGGCCUCAUCAGGUUUGGGAAGUGGGUUUCUCUGGGACUUUGGGAACGGUGGAUCUGAGACUGAUUUGGGCAAAGGCUGUAACUUGAAAAGAAUCCUCAGGUUUGUGCUCCUGCAACAAAGCAUCCAAUUGAAGCGAUUCUGAGGCUGUUUCCUAGACCACAUUAAAAAACAAAGAGAGGUUUAUUCUCAAGCAAUGCAUCAUUUGACACUUUGCAGGAGGCGGUGACCAAUGUAGACAAAUGUGGCUAAAAGCAACUUCCAGCAUUUUCAUUGCUUUUACAAAAGUAUUUACUGAAAAGUUUUGUAUAGUGGCGUGCAUGGUUGUUUGCUACUAUCUUGUUCUUCAUUUUCACAUGCCUUGAUAAGUUGAUAUAACCCAGGGUAGCUGAUGGGAGGCGCUUGCUUGUGCUCGUCGUCUUCAUCGGAGGUGUAACAUUCGUUGUCUUCAGAAAUGCCUUUCAAUUUCUCAAUUCUCAGGCUACAAGCUGCUCUUGGUAGUUGCCCUGGGAGAGAUCCACAAGCGCAAGUAGCAGAGUUUGUGUUUACUGGGUAGAAGAGUGAUUUGCUCCUUUUUUUGUGAUUCUUUCAGUUAUGUAUAUGGUUAAUGGGUUGCUCUUUUAGUUUUUUAUUUUAUAUUAAAUAAGGCUCCAAUGGCCCUUUU